GGGGAAUAUUGCACAAUGGGCGCAAGCCUGAUGCAGCAACGCCGCGUGAGUGAAGAAGUAUUUCGGUAUGUAAAGCUCUAUCGGCAGGGAAGAAAGGCCCAUAACAGGGAGAUGACGGUACCUGACUAAGAAGCCCCGGCUAACUACGUGCCAGCAGCCGCGGUAAUACGUAGGGGGCAAGCGUUAUCCGGAUUUACUGGGUGUAAAGGGAGCGCAGACGGCAGUGCAAGUCUGAUGUGAAAGCCCGGGGCUCAACCCCGGAACUGCAUUGGAAACUGUACAGCUUGAGUGUCGGAGAGGUAAGCGGAAUUCCUAGUGUAGCGGUGAAAUGCGUAGAUAUUAGGAGGAACACCGGUGGCGAAGGCGGCUUACUGGACGAUUACUGACGUUGAGGCUCGAAAGCGUGGGGAGCAAAC
rnacentral:rRNA from 1 species